UACGCAGGGUGCAAGCGUUACUCGGAAUUACUGGGCGUAAAGCGUGCGUAGGUGGUUGUUUAAGUCUGUUGUGAAAGCCCUGGGCUCAACCUGGGAACUGCAGUGGAAACUGGACAACUAGAGUGUGGUAGAGGGUAGCGGAAUUCCCGGUGUAGCAGUGAAAUGCGUAGAGAUCGGGAGGAACAUCCAUGGCGAAGGCAGCUACCUGGACCAACACUGACACUGAGGCACGAAAGCGUGGGGAGCAAACAGG
rnacentral:rRNA from 1 species